ensembl:lncRNA
GGUCAAACAGGCGUCUAGAGGAAAACAUGAAUGGGCAUCCUUGCCUGUCCCCACAACUAAAAUUACUUGUUAGUUACUGGGCUACUCGCUGGCACCAAUUAUCAGUUCAGUGUCCUACCUCAGAACAAGCUCGGAUCUGGACCCUUCAGUGAAAUAGUUUCUGUGCAAACUAUCGCUGUUCCAACAGAAGCACCCACUCUCUCCACCUUCCUGGCCCUGGACCCACCUGUAAUGUUGUCAGUCAAUCGGACGGCUGAAGGAGUGAUGCUGCAGUGGUCGGCACCAGACGCCCCCUCCUCCCCCUCACUGGCUUUGUGCUACAGGCCCGCAAAGACCGGAGCCAGUGGGUCAUCAUCACCAGCAACAUUGAAGCUAAUCAAAGUGAACUACUCGUAAAAGGACUCUUACGGGAUUCAAAUUAUGAUCUCAGACUGCUGUCCCGUAGCAAUAAACUGCUCAGUGUGCCCAGUGAUUCUGUCAAUGUCUCUACCAUAGGCGAGUAUUUUCCCCUCUUUUCAUUUUUUAAAUUAUUAUGCAAAACGAAAAACAAAACACAUUUUCAUAUCUGCUUUUAUCACAGGAAUGGAGGUUUACCCAGUGCGACCAAGUUUUUUGGAAAAUGUCCCAGAGUCCUUGUUGGCAGGUGUCAUUGCAGGAGUGUGCUUCCUGUUUGUGGCUAUAGUCAUGUCUUUGGUGACAGCGUGUUACAUGAGUCACAGGAGACGACAGCGUCGGAAAAUGAGGAGGGGGGACUUACCCAAUACCUUAUUGAAGAGCUCGUCACCACAAUCCCGAUCGCCUCCUCGGAGCCCAGACAGUGUUCUCAAGCUGAAGCUGUGUCCACCACUGUCCUUCUUUCCCAGUGUUUCUACUUCACAGUCUGACCGUACCUCCUUUGAGAAGGGCAGUCGCGGGGAUUACUACGACCAGCGAAAGCAGCUUCUGUCUAACUCAUCUCCACCUCCACAUUACACUAUGUUUGAGAGUCACCUGGGCUCCCAAGCCCCAUCUCCAGCAGCUCUAGAAUCGAUCUCCAGAGGGCCAGAUGGACGCUUUAUUGUGCAACCGCAGCAGGAGAUUUCAAACAUAAAACAUUUAUUGCACAGUAAUGGCAGUGCAAGUGGCUCAGGCAGCAAUCGGACAUCAUUCAGGGAUUCUCCAAAGUCAAGUAUCCUGAGCUCAGAAAGAGAUGAAAGAAAGGGUUCUCCCCUAACUGUGGAUGUACCUGAACUAGGUCGGCCUCCUGCCUCACCUGGAAGAGUACGAGCAAUGGCCAGAAACUUUUCCCGUCAUGGAUGUUUUUACUCUGACGAUGAACAGAGCACAGAAGCUCUCAUUGAAAGAGCCAGUUUCUAUUCUGACAACAGUGAGAAAAAACCCAGUGAUUCUCUUCGGAGACACCGCCUUCGGGACCACUCGGAAGGACUAUUCCCCAGUUUGGGCAGAAGAGGAAAAUAUCUAGACACUGAGAGAGACAGACUGAAUAUCAAUCAGCCGUUAGACAGGGAUUGUACCUUGGUCUCUCAUCUGGAUACCGAACAGGACAGCAUCAACAAGUGUGUUCAACUCGCUAAAGAGAGAGAGGAAAUAGAGAGGGAGCUGAAGGCUUAUACAGCCAAUCAGAGGAAUCAGGCUCAGUCAGAAAAGGCUAGAAGCCCCCAUAGAAAGUCACCUUCAAUAGAAGAAGAGCCUGUGUGGAAACCACAGGAGGUCACUAUUAGGCAGAAACACAAGGCAGCUGGUCAAACAAGUCGGAUUUCAGAUUAUAGAAAGGCCUGUUACUUUGGGAGUACAAGCAGUCCAAUGGACCGUGUCUCUGCUUCCCGUAUACAGUGGGACAUUAGCCCUGUGACAUCAGUCACCAGUCUUGUUCCAGUACAAAGUCCCCAGGACACCGGAUCUUCCAGAACUGUUCUCCUUCACACAAACCGGGACAACACAGGGGACUCAGGUCACAUCGACUCAUCUCAAGUGACACAGAACACCUCACUUCCUCUGACGCCAGACAUCACCUCAGAAAGUUUACCAGCCAUGCACUUACAGUCACCGACAAGAGACCGGUCGUUGAGUCCACAAAAGCCUGAAAGUCACAGGAGAUCUAUCGCAGGCACACAGCCCUGGGACUCAGCAGCGGCUCGGCCAUCUACUCGAGCAGAAAAUACUGCUGUAGAUUUUACACCCAGAAAGGAUUCACGUCCUUCAAGUUACACCACUUUACUCUAUCACGAGCACGAGAGAGAAGGUGUGAGAACACGCUCUAGAAAAAGUGACAAAUGUCUCACCUCAGACAGCCCUAGUCCAAUUACAACAUUAACCCUGGUAGAAGAGGUAGAAAGUGACCAGUCUCAGUUCUCUGUCCCCAGAAUGUCAGAGUCUUUCAAAGCUAGGCCUGUAGCUCAGUCUCCUAAAAUGUCCCCUAUUCAAACAAGUGCUAUACUUGAAUAUCUCAGCCUUCCUGGUUUCAUUGAAAUGAGUGUGGAUGAACCAGUGGAAGAAAGUGAAGUUAGUGACACCCAACAAAGUUCAGAAGCUUCUCCAGUGGCUAAGCCAGAUGUUGUUCCUAAAAACUGGGAGGUACAUGUGAAAAACCAAGAAACAGAGUCACAUCCAAAAGAGGUGAGAUUCGAACAAAGUCAUACAGUUGUUGGUACAGAGGAAGAUGAAUCACACUUCACCCGAGAUGAAUCUAGAGAUCCUUUACUUAGGGUCAGGUUUCCAGAUGAGCUUGUAUCACAUUCCGCUGAAAAAACCUGUCGACAACUUUAUGAUGAAAAAACACGACUUAGGUUUGGAAACCGGACAGAGAGACCGGAGAUGCGGCUUGGAUCUAUGUCUUCUCACACAUUGUACAGUGCAGCAAAAGGCAUGGCAGACAUAGUUUCAAAACAUUCUUCAGGUUUUGUUGACAGUAGUGAGUCAGAGCCAUCCCAAAGGGCAGCCUCUCCAAGCAGUAGAGCUAACAACAUUGUCUCACGCAUAUCUCAAGCUCCUGUUCCAUUUCUCAAGAAAUCCUUGAGUAUUGGCCCCUGUCGAACUCUCUCUGGUAUGGGCCAGCCGCGCUCCUUUUUGAAAAAGUCUAUCAGUUUAGGGUCACAGAGAUGGGAACAUUUUGAGAGUCCAAGACCUUAUGUCUCUGAGAGGUGUUACUGGGAUGAGUUUUCAAGCCCAGAUGUCCGGGUUAAAUCAUACAGUUUAGGACGCAGUCCUCCUUCCUUUUCGAGGCCGGGGCCCUCGUGGAAGGAAUACAUCCCCUUCAGGAGACCCAACAUGGGGAGUUUAGAUAGACCACAUCAUCCCCAAAGACCUUUAGCAAGUUCCCCUACCUCACAACUUCGAUGUAUCCGCCAAGACAAACUUCCGUUUCCCCUCUGCUAG